CUAAUACAUGCAAGUCGAACGAACUUCCGUUAAUUGAUCAGGACGUGCUUGCACUGAAUGAGAUUUUAACACGAAGUGAGUGGCGGACGGGUGAGUAACACGUGGGUAACCUGCCCAGAAGCAGGGGAUAACACCUGGAAACAGAUGCUAAUACCGUAUAACAGAGAAAACCGCCUGGUUUUCUUUUAAAAGAUGGCUCUGCUAUCACUUCUGGAUGGACCCGCGGCGCAUUAGCUAGUUGGUGAGGUAACGGCUCACCAAGGCGAUGAUGCGUAGCCGACCUGAGAGGGUAAUCGGCCACAUUGGGACUGAGACACGGCCCAGACUCCUACGGGAGGCAGCAGUAGGGAAUCUUCCACAAUGGACGCAAGUCUGAUGGAGCAACGCCGCGUGAGUGAAGAAGGGUUUCGGCUCGUAAAGCUCUGUUGUUAAAGAAGAACGUGGGUGAGAGUAACUAUUCACCCAGUGACGGUAUUUAACCAGAAAGCCACGGCUAACUACGUGCCAGCAGCCGCGGUAAUACGUAGGUGGCAAGCGUUAUCCGGAUUUAUUGGGCGUAAAGCGAGCGCAGGCGGUCUUUUAAGUCUAAUGUGAAAGCCUUCGGCUCAACCGAAGAAGUGCAUUGGAAACUGGGAGACUUGAGUGCAGAAGAGGACAGUGGAACUCCAUGUGUAGCGGUGAAAUGCGUAGAUAUAUGGAAGAACACCAGUGGCGAAGGCGGCUGUCUGGUCUGUAACUGACGCUGAGGCUCGAAAGCAU
rnacentral:rRNA from 1 species